CAAGCGCGUACUGGAGGCCGCUGAGCAGUCCGGCUUUUCUCCGGAUCCAUCCGCAAGCCGCUUGCGCCGGCAAUCGUCCGACACGAUCGCGUUCGUC
rnacentral:tRNA from 1 species